CAACCAAAGGAGUUCAACAUGAAACUCUUUACAAUCAACUUUUUAAAAUUACUUUUUAUUCUUCUACUAUCAAUCGUUAUUGAACCGGAGGGCGGACCUCAAGAAUGUCCGCGCUUUUCGAUGGAGAUCAAAAAUGUUAAACAAGAAAAAACAAGGACCUACUAUACAAUAAAUAUAUCUUAAACGGCACUUGGAAUCCCAAACUAAUAUAAGUCUUUAAUGUAAAACAUAAUACACAACGUAAGACGUCAUAAAAAUGUUAUAAAACAAGUUCACAUGUUUUAAUUCGAUUUGAAACAAUUAAUAAAUUUUGCUUUAAAGUGGAAAUGUUUUGCAAAUGGAUAUAUUGAUCAACAGAGCAUCUACGAAUAUCUUAUUAAUUGUCGGUUGGACUACUUGAAAUAAAAACUCACGCACUAA